AUAUAUAUAUAUAUAUAUAUAUAUAUAUAUUACAUUCAUUUAAUAUUUAUCUAUAAAGCGAGUACAACAAAGUUUUGAAUGGUUAAUUAUAAAAGAGAAAAAUAAAAGGACCACACACAAAAAAAAAAAAAAAAAAAAAAAAGAGAAAAAACAAGAAAAAAGGAAAAAACAAAAGAGAAAAAAUAUCAUAAUCUUUAUGAGAGAAUAAGAAAUCUUGAGUUGAGCCGAAACAAAGUAGGUUUGGAGUAACUCGCGAAUCGUCUUCUUCAUCGUCCGCGGUGAAGCGUGCAAAUAGUGAACGAACAGAGACGAAGGAGAAGGUGGGAGAAGGGGAGGGUAUGCAAGAGGGAGAAGAGGGACGAGGAGGAGUAUGGAGGAGGGCUACUCGCACGCUCCGACUUUCCCUCGUUCAGCCACGGUCACUGUUGCAAUGACGUAAGGCCCCCCCUAGAGUAGAGAGACUAGAUAAUUGUUAGCCUGCUAGCUAGCGCAGAAGAGACUCGCUUUAUAAUCUUCUCCAUCAUUCCGUGCCAUUCCAUUCUAUUUCGUUCGACUUUCGUCUCUUUUAUUCGUUGCUACUGUAUUUCCUUCUUCUUCUCUCUCUCUCUCUCUCUCUCUCUCUCUCUCUUUUCUUUUUCUAUAUUUUCUUUCUUCUUCUUCUUCUAUCUUUUCUUUUAUCCCCUUCUUCCCCUUCUUCUUUUCAUUGAUAAAACAACCUUUCACACUUUAACUCGCAUAUAUUCGCUAACACGUGUCUAUACGCAUAUAUAUAUGUGUGUGUGUGUGUGUGUGUGUGCGUGUGUGUGUGUGUGUGUGUGCAUGUGUAUGUAUAUAUUAUAGGUGCAUACGUAAUUUAAAAAAAAAAAAAAAGAAAAAGAAUUUUAUCCCUUCAAAGAAUGAACGAAACAAUUUUUGAAAAUCUACAAACAUUAAAUCAUCAUCUCGAUUGAUUUGUGAAAACAAAAAGAAGGAAAAUAUGAGAUAUUUCGCAGGACAUGAUGGCGCAUAUGCAAUACUAUCUGCGAAAGAAGAAGAUGAAGAAGAAGAAGAGAAGGAGGAGGAGGAGAAGGAGGAGGAGGAGGAGGAGGAAGAAGAAUAAGAAAAAGAAAAAGAAAAAGAAGAAGAAGUUAGAAGGCGUGAGUGACGGCAGACGAUGCUAAUGAGAGAUCCUAUCACUUAGUCUGACGUAACAUGGCAGCAACUUCGUUCUUAAAUUCGAGAGAGUUAAUUCUAUCAGAAUAAAAGGAAAAUGUUUCAUUCAUCAUCAUCAUCAUCAUCAUCAUCAUCAUAAUCCUCUUCGUUCGAUGAAUAAUCGAUCGUUAUUAUAUUAAUUGAAAAAAAGAAAAGAAAAAAAAGAAAAGGAAAAAAGAAAGGAAAAAAAAAUUAAAGAAAGACAAAAGAAAAAUGAUAAUGAUUCCGAUUAGAAUGUUUUGGGGGAAACGUUUUAACGUGAGUUUCAUAUAAAUUCGACAAAAUCGUUCUAUCGACUUACCGUCGUUAUGAUAUUGUCUCGAAGCCAAAGAAACGGCGCCGGACGAUGGCUGUUGCGUCGUAGGGGCUGUUGCCUGAGUGGUAGGACCGUGCGUUUGGCCGGACGAGUUAGUGCUGUUAGAAUUAGCCGGUGUUGUAGCUGGACUCUUGUGUUCCUGAUGACCGGAUGAAUCCUGAUAUCCCAAAAAAUCACCUAAAUCCGGGACGCAUACGCUCUCGUACAAGUUAUUCGCCGUAGUGUUCUCCAAUGAGGCCUUUUCAGCAUCGACAUCUAAAUUUUUAAAUGUAAAGUAACGUCAAAACCAAAUGAAUCCUUGAAGUGAAAAUUUUUAAUGAAAUUUCUCUUCGAUCCAUUUCGUCAUUCAUUUUUCUUUUCUUAUUAAUCACUUUAUAAAAGAUCCCUCAAUGAUAAUAAGUAUAUUAAAUAUAUCUUUUUAUCAUCUAUGAACGAUCAUCGUGGAUCUAAUCGAUCCGAAUAAAAUGAUGUAAUUAAUAUAAAUAAUUUAAUUUUGUCUUUUUUAAUUUAUUUUAUUAAAGGAGAAACAAAAAAGAGGGACGAUCCGCGACAACGAGGAUGAUUCGUAACGUCGAAUGAAACGACAAUAAUCAGACCGAGAAACGAGCUUUUAUCUAAGCCUGAUAGCGUUAUAAAUGCGACGCAAUUAUGACCACAAAAUGGAGCAUGUUAGCGAUAGAAGGAGAUUAAUUGUCCUGUUGCUUUUAAAACUUUCCACGAUCAUUGUUAUUAUUAAAAAGGAAGAAUUUUUCUUAACGUGAAAUGACGAAAAUAAGAAAGGAAAAUACAAAACGAUGAUGGAUUUUAUGCCAUAGGGAUAUAGAUAUAAAUAUAUAUACAUAUAUAAUAAUAUACAUAUGUAUUUAUAUAUUCUUAAAGCGUAGAAUCUCAGCUGGGUAAUUUCGCAAUGGCCCGGUACAACAAUAGGACAAAUUGAAGGAAAGCGAGGCAACAAACAACAACGCGAUGAUCGCAGAUCGCUCCGGUCAGCGCGGAGCAAGCGCAACAACGUUUCCUAAUAUCCGUUCUCGUUCAUGGAAUCAAAGCGAUUACCCACGUUGCUAGGCGUAUGUCACGGCUUUGUGUAUGUAUAAUAACGUGCUAGAAUAAACACUUUAUUACCUCCAUCGUCAUAUAGAUCAUUUGUGAGGAUCUAAAUGAUCGUGGAAGAUGAUAAUGAUGAUGAUGAUGAUGAUGAUGAUGAUGAUGAUGAUGAUGAUGAUGAUAAUGAAGAUGACGAUGACGAUGAAUGUAGAUAUGAACGUGAGAACAUAAUCACGUUCACGUAUGACAUUUGAUUUUAAUUGUAUAUAUAGCUAUUCGAUUAUAUGGACAUCGAAUAGUACGUAUGUUAAAUUUGAUAAAAAAAAAAAGAGAGAGAGAGAGAGAGAGAGAGAGAGA